rnacentral:rRNA from 1 species
AGAUUGAACGCUGGCGGCAUGCCUAACACAUGCAAGUCGAACGGGAGUAGCAAUACUCUAGUGGCGGACGGGUGAGGAAUACGUAGGAAUUUGCCCUUAAGUGGGGGAUAACCCGGGGAAACCCGGAUUAAUACCGCAUGACCUCGAAAGAGCAAAGUGGGGGAUCGCAAGACCUCACGCUUUUGGAGAAGCCUACGUCGGAUUAGCUAGUUGGUGAGGUAAUGGCUCACCAAGGCGACGAUACCGUAACUGGUCUGAGAGGAUGAUCAGUCACACCGGAACUGAGACACGGUCCGACUCCUACGGGAGCAGCAGUGGGGAAUAUUGGACAAUGGGCGCAAGCCUGAUCCGAGCAAUGCCGCGUGUGUGAAGAGGCUUCGG